CCCUUAGAUGUUCUGGGCCGCACGCGCGCUACACUGACGAAUGCAACGAGCUUAUCACCUUGGCCGAAAGGUCUGGGUAAUCUCCAAAUUUCGUCGUGAUGGGGAUAGAUUAUUGCAAUUAUUAAUCUUCAACGAGGAAUGCCUAGUAAGCGCAAGUCAUCAGCUUGCGUUGAUUACGUCCCUGCCCUUUGUACACACCGCCCGUCGCUCCUACCGAUUGAAUGGUCCGGUGAAGCGUUCGGACCGUGGCCUUUGGACGGUUCGCCGUCUGUUGGCUGCGGGAAGUUCGUUAAACCUUAUCAUUUAGAGGAAGGAGAAGUCGUANCA
rnacentral:rRNA from 1 species